CAAAGUCUCGCCUCCGUUAUUAUCAAAAAGAAAAGAAAAAAAGUCUCGCCUCCAUGCUCUAAUCCCAACCGUCCAUUAGGGUAGGUCCACGAUGGACCCGGCUAACAAAUUGUUAAUUUGAUUUGAUUUUGGAAUUUUGUUUUACGUUGACGCUCUUUUUGAUCAAUAUGUUGACAUUUGGAUCACAGAUAAAUGACAAGGGACAACGCAACUGGAGUCGUUGAACAUGUUAGUUUUGGCUUUAAACGGUGUCGUAGAGAUCCUUUUCCAUAUUGUCCCG